AAGUCGUAACAAGGUUUCCGUAGGUGAACCUGCGGAAGGAUCAUCA
rnacentral:rRNA from 4 species